rnacentral:rRNA from 1 species
AGAGUUUGAUCCUGGCUCAGGAUGAACGCUGGCGGCGUGCUUAACACAUGCAAGUCGAACGGAGUUUUUAAACGGAAGUUUUCGGAUGGAAGUUUAAGAACUUAGUGGCGGACGGGUGAGUAACGCGUGGGUAACCUGCCUCAUACAGGGGGAUAACAGUUAGAAAUGACUGCUAACACCGCAUAGUAUAGUGAAACCGCAUGAUUUUGCUAUCAAAUAUUUAUAGGUAUGAGAUGGGCCCGCGUCUGAUUAGCUAGUUGGUGGGGUAAAAGCCUACCAAGGCGACGAUCAGUAGCCGGCUUGAGAGGGUGACCGGCCACAUUGGGACUGAGACACGGCCCAAACUCCUACGGGAGGCAGCAGUGGGGAAUAUUGGACAAUGGGGGAAACCCUGAUCCAGCCGACGCCGCGUGAGUGAAGAAGUAUUUCGGUAUGUAAAGCUCUAUCAGCAGGGAAGAUAAUGACAGUACCUGACUAAGAAGCCCCGGCUAACUACGUGCCAGCCGCCGC